rfam:Brenneria goodwinii strain OBR1 genome assembly, contig: Contig
AGCAGGGGGCAACCCCGCCAAAAAAAGCUGAACCGGCAGCGUCGAAUAGCGCGCGGCCGGCAAAC